rnacentral:rRNA from 1 species
CAGUCGCCGCGGUAAUACGUAGGGUGCGAGCGUUAAUCUGAAUUACUGGGCGUAAAGCGUGCGCAGGCGGUUCGUUAAGACAGAUGUGAAAUCCCCGGGCUUAACCUGGGAACUGCAUUUGUGACUGGCGAGCUAGAGUAUGGCAGAGGGGGGUAGAAUUCCACGUGUAGCAGUGAAAUGCGUAGAGAUGUGGAGGAAUACCGAUGGCGAAGGCAGCCCCCUGGGCCAAUACUGACGCUCAUGCACGAAAGCGUGGGGAGCAAACAGGAUUAGAUACCCCAGUAGUCCCUGUCUCUUAUAA